rnacentral:rRNA from 1 species
AUUGAACGCUGGCGGCAUGCUUUACACAUGCAAGUCGAACGGUAACAGGCCGCAAGGUGCAGACGAGUGUCGACCGGCGCACGGGUGCGUACCACGUAUGGAAUCUGCCUUGUACUGGGAGAUAGCCCUCCGAAAGGAGGAGUAAUAUCCCAUAACAGCUCGAGUGUCAUCACUUGGGUUUGAAAGCUCCGGCGGUAAAUGAUGACCAUGCGCACGAUUAGCUAGUUGGUGAGGUAACGGCUCACAAAGGCUACGAUCGUUAGGGGGCCUGAGAGGGUUAUCCCCCACACUGGUACUGAGACGAGGACCAGACUCCUACGGGAGGCAGCAGUGAGGAAUAUUGCGCAAUGGAGGCAACUCUGACGCAGCCAUGCCGCGUGCAGGAAGAAGGCGCUACGCGUUGUAAACUGCUUUUAACCGGGAAGAAACCCCAGGACGUGUCCUGGGUUGACGGGACCGGAGGAAUAAGCACCGGCUAACCUCGUGCCAGCAGCCGCCGUAAUAC